AGAGUUUGAUCCUGGCUCAGGACGAACGCUGACGGUGUGCUUUAGACAUGCAAGUCGAACGAGAAAGCCCUUCGGGGUGAGUACAGUGGCGAACGGGUGAGUAACACGUGGGCAAUCUGCCCCUCGCAGGGGGACAACCGGGGGAAACUCCGGCUAAUACCCCGUACGCUUGCGGAGCCGCAUGGUUCCGCAAGGAGAGGUAGCUUCGGCCAUCCGGCGAGGGAUGAGCCCGCGGUACAUUAGCUAGUUGGUGGGGUAACGGCCCACCAAGGCUACGAUGUAUAGCUGGUCUGAGAGGAUGAUCAGCCACACUGGGACUGAGACACGGCCCAGACUCCUACGGGAGGCAGCAGUCGGGAAUCUUGCGCAAUGGGCGAAAGCCUGACGCAGCAACACCGUGUGAGCGAUGAAGGCCUUCGGGUCGUAAAGCUCUGUUGUUGGGGACGAAGGGGGCUAGCGUUGCUCGGAAUUACUGGGCGUAAAGGGCGCGUAGGCGGAUGUUUAAGUCGGGGGUGAAAGCCCGGGGCUCAACCUCGGAAUUGCCUUCGAUACUGGACAUCUUGAGUACGGGAGAGGUGAGUGGAACUCCGAGUGUAGAGGUGAAAUUCGUAGAUAUUCGGAAGAACACCAGUGGCGAAGGCGACUCACUGGCCCGUUACUGACGCUGAGGCGCGAAAGCGUGGGGAGCAAACAGGAUUAGAUACCCCCGUAGUCC
rnacentral:rRNA from 1 species